rnacentral:rRNA from 1 species
AUACGUAGGGGGCGAGCGUUGUCCGGAAUGAUUGGGCGUAAAGGGCGCGUAGGCGGCUUUGCAAGUCAGUAGUGGAAGUCCAUUUUUCAAGGAUGGAAGUGCUACAGAAACUGCGGAGCUUGAGUGCAGGAGAGGGUAUCGGAAUUCCCGGUGUAGCGGUGAAAUGCGUAGAGAUCGGGAGGAACGCCAGUGGCGAAGGCGGGUAACUGGACUGCAACUGACGCUGAGGCGCGAAAGUGUGGGGAGCAAACAGGAUUAGAUACCCUGGUAGUCCACACUGUAAACGAUGAAUGCUAGGUGUAGGAGGUAUCGACCCCUUCUGUGCCGCAGUAAACACAGUAAGCAUUCCGCCUGGGGAGUACGGUCGCAAGAUUAAAACUCAAAUGAAUUGACGGGG